rnacentral:rRNA from 1 species
UGAAUACGAGACGCUAAGGCGUCGAAGUAGUGUAUGUCAUGCUCCCAAGAAAAGCUUGCACUGUCAUAGAUAAAAAACGCCUGUACCAUAACCGACACAGGUGGGUAGGUAGAGUAUACUAAGGGGCGCGAGAGAACUCUCUCUAAGGAACUCGGCAAAAUAACUCCGUAACUUCGGGAGAAGGAGUGCCUUAUUAUUAAGGCUGCAAUAACAAGAUCCAAGCAACUGUUUAUCAAAAACACAGGUCUCCGCUAAGUCGUAAGACGAUGUAUGGGGGCUGACGCCUGCCCAGUGCAGAAGGUUAAAGAAGUUGGUUAGCAUUUGCGAAGCUGAUAACUGAAGCCCUGGUGAACGGCGGCCGUAACAAUAACGGUCCUAAGGUAGCGAAAUUCCUUGUCGGGUAAGUUCCGACCCGCACGAAAGGCGUAAUGAUUUGGAUACUGUCUCGGAGAGGGGCUCGGUGAAAUAGACUUGUCUGUGAAGAUGCGGACUACCUGCACCAGGACAGAAAGACCCUAUGAAGCUUUACUGUAACUUGAAAUUGAAAUUGGACUUUAUUCGCGCAGCAUAGGUGGGAGGCGUUGAUUAUAAUCUUGUGGGAUUAUUGGAGCCAUCAGUGAGAUACCACUCUUGUAAUGUUAGAUUUCUAACUUUGAAUCAUUAUCUGGUCAAAGAACAGUUUCAGGCGGGCAGUUUGACUGGGGCGGUCGCCUCCUAAACGGUAACGGAGGCGUACAAAGGUUUCCUCUGAACGGUUAGAAAUCGUAUCUAGAGUGUAAAGGCAUAAGGAAGCUUGACUGUGAGACCUACAAGUCGAGCAGGGACGAAAGUCGGUCUUAGUGAUCUGACGGUACUGAGUGGAAAGGCCGUCACUCAACGGAUAAAAGUUACUCUAGGAUAACAGGCUGAUCUCCCCCAAGAGUUCACAUCGACGGGGAGGUUUGGCACCUCGAUGUCGGCUCAUCGCAUCCUGGGGCGGUAGUACGUCCCAAGGGUUGGGCUGUUCGCCCAUGAAAGCGGUACGCGAGCUGGGUUCAGAACGUCGUGAGACAGUUCGGUCCAUAUCCGGUGUAGGCGUUAGAAUAUUGAGAGGAGCCUUCUUUAGUACGAGAGGACCGAGAAGGACAUACCUCUGGUGUACCAGUUAUCGUGCCAACGGUAAACGCUGGGUAGCUAUGUAUGGAGUGGAUAACCGCUGAAAGCAUCUAAGUGGGAAGCCCACCUCAAGAUAAG